rfam:Geobacteraceae bacterium GWB2_52_12 GWB2_Geobacter-like_52_12_gwb2_scaffold_6854, whole genome shotgun sequence.
UAACGACAAUACUAAACCAUCCGCGAGGAUGGGACGGAAAGCCUAAUGGGUCUCAUCGAGACAGCCGGGUCGCCGAA